UCCUAUACCUCUUGAUGCUCUGCGGCACAACGUCGAAGUCCAUUUCAUAACAUUCGAUUAAGUUCUCGAGUCAAUGCUUGUAUAGUUGAGCUGUUAGGUAUGAUAUUGAGCAGUUUGGAUAAAAAAAAAAAUAAUCCAUUCUCUACAAAUUCUAGUUCAAAAAAUCCCCAAAAAAUAAUUUAUAAAUGCUCUUCUGAUUCUUGGUUGAACUCAUUGACAAACGGCAAGAUGGGUUUGCAGGUUUGGGGUCUCUUGAAAUACACAGCGAUUGAAGGCUAAAACUUGUCACCAUGUAUUCUCGAAAAUGUUGUGUCGCUGAUUGUCACUGUUGCCAACCUCCCGAGGUGAUUUUCCCAAUGACUCACAAGGUCUUGCUCAUCACAUAUUGGGGCACAUAGUCUUCGGGGUGACAUAGUCCUCGGUGUAAUACACCCAAGGAGUGGCGACUUGCAUCAUCAUGAUCUGGUCGGUGGUGUCCUCGAGAAUAAGUCCUCGAGCAUCCUUUUGAUAUACGGGGUUCAUGAGUCCUCAAGCUAUUCCCUUCAUACCGAACCCCCCUUUUGUCAAGCCCAUAAGAAAUCUUACUUUCUACGGACUCUAAUAUAAUUCAAACACCUCAACCCAGGACUCCGACAUCCACAAGAAUUCUAUGUCAACAACAACGUCAUUGGUCAUGCAACUAUAUUACAAAAAAAAUACUCUUAUCAAGUAGGACUCUAUUGGAUAGGAACAUCCAACUAAUUCAAUCCUACUAGAAGUACACUACCUACCUCUAUAAAUACAUGACCCAAAUCCAUUAUUCAAGUACGCUUUUACAUACAAUUUCAGUAUACGUUCUCAUAUUAAUUCUCUGUCUGACUUAAGCAUCGGAGGGACGACGAGAACACACCUCGUUGUCUUUGUUUCAGGUACCAGAAGGCUCUGUUCGUGCUCUUUUUCAAUCCUCAAGUUCGGGAGGUCUACCAGAGAAGACUUCUUGCUGGGAAUCUUCGGAUGAAGGGAAAUUCUCUCAUGACUUGUAUCAUUAUCGUAUUUCAACAUAGAAACCAUGGAGUACCCGUGGCACAAUAACAAGGAAAUCGAAGUUAUCGAUCAGAUUUUCAUCGUCGGUGUUAUUCAUGCUACUUUUGCUCCGCUUCAGCACCACCGACGGCUUAUAGUCAACCAUGGCUCACACCAAAUUAUGAUUUUAUAGGAACUCGCAAGGGAACCCUCAACAGUGUCUUGUCUGGGUAUAUGAACUGAGGCUUGGUUUGACUGAGAUGAAGACGACCACGAUAUCACUUCAAUUGAUGAAUAGAUCAAUUAAAUACCAUCGAGGUGCAUUGGAAGGUGUGCUUAUAAAAGUGGAAGAUGUCAUAUUUCUAGUGGAUUUCAUUGUUCUAGAUAUUAAAGAAGAUCUAGAUCUACCAAUAAUUUUGGGUCGACUGUUCUUAGAAACUAGUUGGGUUUUAAUUGAACUUGGAGGUGUAAAAUGAAAGAGCUAUGUUCAACGUGUUCAAUUAAAAGCACUUGAGAAAUCAUCCAACUUUGAGGAACGCACUAUAAUUGAAAUAGUAAAAAUACAUGAUGGUUAAAAGUACAAGCCAAGAGUGAAUUGAAGAUGAAAAUCUCAAACUGGGAGCGGAGAUUGGAGGUGAAGAGUCCAAGCCGAAACCAGCAGUAGAUAGACUUGUUGGAGCAAGAUUUGAUGAAAAAGGCAAAGGCAAAGUCAAGGUUUAGAAGGUGAAAGAAAGUCGUGCAAACCCAAGAAGUGCAAGCAAUGCAAAGAUUUAGCCUUCUUGAAGUGAUUAUUGCAAAAAAUAAAAUAAAAUAAUAAUAAAGUCAAUGACUUUAAAUAUGAAUGAAAGACAACACAUUCUCUAUCUCUUGUUUUAAUUUGACAUUUUGUAUUUGCAUUUAGAUUUUAGGAUUGCAUUAGAAUAAAGUUAGAGCACCAUGCACGUUUAGAGCUUUACCAUUUAUGUAAUUUUUUCAGUUUAGUUUUCUCAAUUCAACGUCCAAUUCUAAGUAUUAUGUUCGGAUUUAAUGUAACAAGAAGAGAGAAAUAGAACGAAGACUAGAUAAUUUUAUUUGUGCACUAGUUUUUGAGUACUUUUAAGUUAAAAAUUCAAAUUGAUCUUUGCCUAAUUUUCUAGAUUUUUUACGAACUAACUGAAAGUUAAGAAAAAACAUCAUGCAUUUUUAUUUGCGUGGUGAUACCUACAUGUCUAAACACUUUGAUACAUGGGAUCAAAACUAAAGAAGUUGCAUAUG